rnacentral:miRNA from 1 species
GCAAAGGACUGACCCUCUGGGGCAGGGAGUCCGAGGGGACGGCCACCGGGGGCCCAGCACCGGC